UACGUAGGGGGCAAGCGUUGUCCGGAAUCAUUGGGCGUAAAGCGCGUGUAGGCGGCUCGAUAAGUCUGCUGUGAAAGUCCAAGGCUCAACCUUGGGAUGCCGGUGGAUACUGUGGGACUAGAGUACGGAAGAGGCGAGUGGAAUUCCUGGUGUAGCGGUGGAAUGCGCAGAUAUCAGGAGGAACAACAAUAGCGAAGGCAGCUCGCUGGGACGUUACUGACACUGAGGCGCGAAAGCGUGGGGAGCGAACAGG
rnacentral:rRNA from 1 species